GUUUAUUCACGUAAAGAACCUGUAUGUUUUAUAUUUGUUUUUAUAUAUAUUAUAUGGUAUGCGCAUGUGUUCUUGCUUUCAUUCAUUGAUUUCAUGCUCCAAAUUCUGUACAGUUGUUGCCUUGUUGGUUAACUGUUAAUAAUUUGCUUGUAUAUGUCAUAUUUUCAGCAGUCCCUCCCUCUCUAUACUUGCGGUUGAAGUAAUUUAUGUUUCAUCAUGAACACUUGACAUG
rnacentral:misc_RNA from 1 species